rnacentral:misc_RNA from 1 species
GAUGAAGAACGCAGCGAAAUGCGAUAAGUAAUGUGAAUUGCAGAAUUCAGUGAAUCAUCGAAUCUUUGAACGCACAUUGCGCCCGCCAGUAUUCUGGCGGGCAUGCCUGUUCGAGCGUCAUUACAACCCUCAGGCCCCCGGGCCUGGCGUUGGGGAUCGGCGGAAGCCCCCUGCGGGCACAACGCCGUCCCCCAAAUACAGUGGCGGUCCCGCCGCAGCUUCCAUUGCGUAGUAGCUAACACCUCGCAACUGGAGAGCGGCGCGGCCACGCCGUAAAACACCCAACUUCUGAAUGUUGACCUCGAAUCAGGUAGGAGUACCCGCUGAACUUAAGCAUAUCAAUAAGCGGAGGA